GAGUUUGAUCGUGGCUCAGAUUGAACGCUGGCGGCAUGCCUUACACAUGCAAGUCGAACGGCAGCACGGGAGCUUGCUCCUGGUGGCGAGUGGCGAACGGGUGAGUAAUGCAUCGGAACGUAUCCUGGAGUGGGGGAUAACGUAGCGAAAGUUACGCUAAUACCGCAUAUUCUGUGAGCAGGAAAGCGGGGGACCUUCGGGCCUCGCGCUCUUGGAGCGGCCGAUGUCGGAUUAGCUAGUUGGUGAGGUAAAGGCUCACCAAGGCGACGAUCCGUAGCAGGUCUGAGAGGAUGAUCUGCCACACUGGAACUGAGACACGGUCCAGACUCCUACGGGAGGCAGCAGUGGGGAAUAUUGGACAAUGGGCGAAAGCCUGAUCCAGCCAUGCCGCGUGUGUGAAGAAGGUCUUCGGAUUGUAAAGCACUUUAAGUUGGGAGGAAGGGCAGUAAGUUAAUAACCUUGCUGUUUUGACGUUACCGACAGAAUAAAGCACCGGCUAACU
rnacentral:rRNA from 1 species